rnacentral:lncRNA from 1 species
UCCCUUUAUAAAAAAAAAAUAACAAAACUCAGAAUCAAAUAAUGGAGGUGAUAUUUCUUAAACGUUAAGCACGGAGAUAUUUUUUAAAAGGCCGAAGUCGGCCGCUUUCAACUCCUGCAGAUUUGGUUUUUAAUCGCGAACAAUCCUCAAGUCAAAUUCAAAUGUGACACCUCCUUCACCAACAGGAAAUUAAUUGGCAUAUUAAUUUAAUAAUCAAUCUUAGCCGAAUUGAAACUUAAAACAAGCAAUGUACAUCUACAAUAAUAUCCUCAAAAGUGCAUGUAAACAAAAUUCCCCCACCUUUAGCAAAGUGAUUCUUGCACACUUUUCCAAAUGCAAAGCUCCAUCGCAAAAGCCACUGACAUCUAAAAGCCAGAUUCUUCAUAAUCCAGAGAUUUCGGUAAUAAUGAUUUAAGUGUACAACAAGUAAAGGCUUGCUUGAAAAUUACAAAAAUGAUUCGGCAACUGCACGUAUAUAAUAAACUGGAGAAGAAAAUGAGCCGGAAAGAAUAGAAGAAUCAAUCAAAAGCCCGUCUAUGGCAAAACCUCAAUUGGAAGUGUGUACUAGAAUGAAGAAUAAAGGCAAGCUUUCCUAUGUAAAACUUCUAGUAUCACAAGACUAUCAAGAGAACUGUAAAUGAUACCAUUUUAUUGGUGUAUGUUGAGUUCCUUAGCCUGAUGUUCGAAGUUUGGGUGACGCAUCAUCCAUUCAGAGAUUCCAGUUUGGUGUCCAGGUCACNNNN